UGGGGCAUACAGUUGCUCCCAGGUGUACUGCAGCCCUGUACAACAGAUCCCUAUAGCCCCCUAAGCCCCUUGUAAAAUAUCCUUGGCCCUAAAUCCCACAGUCCCCUUUCCUGUAACUUCAUCUCCUUCACACCACUGUAGGGUCUGAGCUGUCUCAUCCCACAGCCUACAGUUACCCCGGCAUGUAGUCAUGUGUUGGCAGCAGAGCCGAGAGCUUGGGCAGCUCUUCUGGGACAAGGACUUUGACGGUACGGUAACGUUACCCCGGAGGUGACCCAUUCUUUGAGGCUGCGUGAGCUGGCAUGACUGGGAUAUCACCUUAAGAGACUAGUGCUGUUUCCAAAGUGUUGAUGUUCUGUGCUCACAUCUGAUCCUCUGAAACUAAUUUUCCAGGAGACAGGAGCUGACACAAAGGAAUGAGAAAAAGUAAUGGCUGACACUAAAAGGGAUUUACUGUUCCUAUUCCAUGUCUUGGAUAUACUCUAGAAACUGUAAGUUAAGCAGCAAAUCAUAACUUGUAAUGCAAACUGUAGAGCACACCUCUUCUUCCUGUGGUUUUCUCAUGCAAACCAGAAUAACUAGAUAUUCUUUCUGCACUUGUGGAAGAUCAAAGCUAGAAUAAACAGCAAAUGGGGGUGAGAUGCUAGUUCAUUGGCCAAGAUGAGCAGUUUGCUCCUGGUAAAAGAAUAAUAAUAAUGGUGGAAGGUGUUGCUAUGUUACUGCAGGGGGCAUAUAUCUCACUGGGGCAUGUCAGGAGAUGUUUAUUGUAUCAGAGUUAUGCCCAUGGAUAUGUCUGAUCUUGCUCCCAUGGGAUGGCACUAUCACUCCCCACUGGAAGUAGAUGUGGUGCUGUGCAAAUGUGCAAAAGAUGCUGUGCAUCUUUCCAGAUGUUCCCUGGUGUUGCACUGAUGGCUUUCUGUAACCAGGAGAACAAUUCCCUCUCAGUCCCUGUUUUAAACUGCAGACCUUCAUCUAAGGCAUUGUUGUCAGAUAAAUGAGAGAUAUGUAGCUGGUCAAGGUUGAAUUGCUAUCCAUAGUGAUACCAAGAAACACCAGAUGCUUGAACAGAAAGUUUUCUAUGACUGUUCAGGAUCAAACUGAAAAAAUACCAACAGAAUUUGGAUCAGAAAGCAAAUCUUCGUCUCCUCUCACCUCCCCAGGGCCUGACUGCUGACAAAGAGAUUGGGAUGUUUAUCUUUUACUCUUCUUAUAUAGCAGUGUUCUUGUGGAGUGUCCUGUGCUAACUGUUCCCCUUACAGCCCUGGCUGUCUUCAGUGGCUCUGUUACACUGCCCUGUACAUCUAUAUCCUCCCAAAUUACAAUCAACCUGUAUUUAAAUUGCCUGUAACGGAGUUUUGUAGCCUGAGCACUGUAUGUUUGGGUUGUCAUGCAAAACCAAUUCCCUGGCAUACAGGGUAUCCAUGUCACUAUCCAGCGUCACUUUCCUCUGUACUUCUCCAUGAACAGUUCUGCAUGGUUCUCAAAGCAGCUCAGUGCAGGCCUGAUUGAUUUUUUUCCUCACAGAGCACCUUGCUUCACCCCAUGAAUGUGACUUGCUGCU